UCUACAACCGAUAACCCCCGUUAAACCUCACCACUCCUAGCCAACCCCGCCUAUAUACCGCCGUCGCCAGCUACCCUAUGAAGCCCAACAGUAGCCAU
rnacentral:rRNA from 1 species